GGGGGUGUAGCUCAAUCGGACAGAGCGUCCGGCUUCUACCCGGCAGGUUGCAGGUUCGAGUCCUGCCACCCCUGCCA
rnacentral:tRNA from 2 species